rnacentral:lncRNA from 1 species
UCAGUUUCGAGUUCUAGGGAAUGACGUUUAUUAGUUCUUUGAUACAAUCUAGACUGGCCAUUCCGUUUUGGGGAACAAUCGGUGUUUCACUCGUCAGUCCGGAAAUUCUUCGCGGCAGCCGGCCUCCCCUUUGGUACCUCUUGAUCUGAUUAUAGCAACGGGUUGCACUUAAACUGGGAAACGGCUCACAAGUAGAAGUAGGAACAUGCAUUUGUUCUGGUUAGCUGUGUUUUUCCCCGGAACUCUGUGUUCUCAAGUCUGCAGUAAUUGCUUAAUCUCACGAAGGGGAGGUCGGCGGGCUGACUCGCAGCUACGGAGCUUCACGUGACUGGGAUAUAAACACCUGGGACGUACACAGGCGUCUAUCUCGUGGUGCUUUAUUAUGUCAGCAUGGAGGUCAGCAGGCAACCGGACUGUGAAGUUGAAACUUUGCAGAGAGACGACUUUUCUUGAAACGUCCAGUGGAGCCAAACGUUUCGACCUGUAGUUUAAAAAGCAUGGUCCUGGCACACGCCGUCGCCUACCGACAUCCUCUCUUUCUGUUACCAGCGUCCUGAUUCUAGUCAGCCUGCAACUAAGCGAACCUCACGUGAAGCCGGUUUGUCUACUCCAACGUGGCGAUCACGUCCCCUUGGCCAUUGAUUGGCUUAAGUGUGAUCCCGCUUACACCUGCUUGGAGCUGGGAGUCAGCACCUUGAAGGCUGCGAGGAGAAGGGUGAGCAAGUCAUGGAUUGUGGUGUGGCACAGGAUUGCUCAUGCUUGA